UCGCACCUGAAUGUGUCUGUGAAAGGAGACAAAAGACGACACGAGUCCUCAGGGACCGACGAGUUCGCUUUGUCCUGUUUCUAAACCACAGCACGUUAAACAAAGAUUCUUAUGACAAAACUCUUCAUAUGUUUUUGAUUUAUAAAGUAACUAAAGCUUUCAGAUGAAAGCAGUGGAGUAAAGAAGUACAAUAUGUCCCCCUGAGACAGUGGAGUAGAGAUAGAAGAUGGCAUUAAAAGAAAGUGCCUCAAGUUCUGAUCUUCAAAGUGUUUUCUUAUAAACGUGAAAACAUCAACACAUCAGUAUUAAAGGGAUGUUCCAAAAUGUAAAGAAACGAGUCGCCCCAACAUCUGACUGGAAAACAGGACAAGAAUCUGUUGUCAUUCUGAGAUCCUAAAUUUAACGACAAACGAUCUCUAAAAGUUCAUGUUUCAUCAUUUAUGUUUGUAAAAAAGUACAAUAUUUCCCCGUUGAGACAGUCGACACAAUCUGAGCACUGAUCACCACAAGGAAAACUAGUUGCCUCAUUCGAGUCUCAUGCUUUGCUCUGCUCUGCUGACUCACGGGGUGUUGCUCAGGUGUCAUCUGGGCCUCAGAGUGUGGAAAUAAGAGACAGCACAUCUUGUGACACAGUGUUCUACCAGUUUGACGAUAAAGAAGUCAGUAGAGAAAACACAAUGACAGUCGAGUCAAAGUGUAAGCGGAAGUUUUGUGUUCCAGGUAAGUUCAAGAUUUAGCAUUGUGUCAAAGUGAAAGUGAAAGUGAGGGUGAGGGUGAGGCUGCCCGCCUUGCUGUGGCAGCCCUGCAGACCAGAAUAUAAAUCCUGGCUGCUCACUCAGAGGAAAACGCUUUUGGCUUCAUCUUUUCCUUGAUGGUGGAUGUUCAACACUGUGUUUUUCUAACUGGAGAAAAACAUGCUCAAGACUGUUUACACUGAAAACAAGAGCUGCAAACGGAAAUAAACACUUAGCUACUAUAUAAAUCAUCAAAAAUGGGGAACGCACCAUCUGAGAGUAACAUGGGCGACCGCCUGAGAUGCUGCAAGUGCAAUAAAGUCCUGCCUCCAUGCAAAUCCUUCGAUAAUUUCUACAAAAGUACUGUUCAUGGACGGUACGUGUAUGUGUUCAAUGGAGGUGAAUACUACAGGCCAGUCGGCCAGGAUAACAAGUACGAGUGUGAGUACUGCUUUCAUAAACCAAUCAGGGAACAAGAGGAAAAGAGGAGAGAGGAGGAGAGACGGAGAGAGGAGGAGAAGAGAAGAGAAGAGGAGAGGAGAAGAGAGGAGAAGAGGAGAAGA